UACGGGAGGCAGCAGUGGGGAAUAUUGCACAAUGGGCGCAAGCCUGAUGCAGCCAUGCCGCGUGUAUGAAGAAGGCCUUCGGGUUGUAAAGUACUUUCAGUCGUGAGGAAGGUGUUAAGGUUAAUAACCUUAGCAAUUGACGUUAGCGACAGAAGAAGCACCGGCUAACUCCGUGCCAGCAGCCGCGGUAAUACGGAGGGUGCGAGCGUUAAUCGGAAUUACUGGGCGUAAAGGGCACGCAGGCGGUUAAUUAAGUUGGAUGUGAAAUCCCCGGGCUUAACCUGGGAAUGGCAUUCAAGCUGGUUAGCUAGAGUCUUGUAGAGGGGGUAGAAUUCCAUGUGUAGCGGUGAAAUGCGUAGAGAUGUGGAGGAAUACCGGUGGCGAAGGCGGCCCCUGGACAAAGGACUGACGCUCAUGUGCGAAAGCGUGGGGAGCAAACAGGGAUUAGAUA
rnacentral:rRNA from 1 species